rnacentral:rRNA from 1 species
CCCUUAGACGUUCUGGGCCGCACGCGCGCUACACUGACCAGUGCAACAAGCAUCCGUCCUUGGCCGACAGGCUCGGGCAAUCUUUGAACGCUGGUCGUGAUGGGGAUAGACUUUUGCAAUUUUUGGUCUUCAACGAGGAAUUCCUAGUAAACGCAAGUCAUCAACUUGCAUUGAUUACGUCCCUGCCCCUUGUACACACCGCCCGUCGCACCUACCGAUUGAAUGGUCCGGUGAAGCCUCCGGAUUGGCGCGCACCUCGGUGCCGCCGAGAAGUUGGCUAAACCUUACCAUUUAGAGGAAGGUGAAGUCGUAACA